UACAGAGGGUGCAAGCGUUAAUCGGAAUUACUGGGCGUAAAGCGCGCGUAGGCGGUUAGUUAAGUUGGAUGUGAAAUCCCCGGGCUCAACCUGGGAACUGCAUUCAAAACUGAUUGACUAGAGUAUGGUAGAGGGUGGUGGAAUUUCCUGUGUAGCGGUGAAAUGCGUAGAUAUAGGAAGGAACACCAGUGGCGAAGGCGGCCACCUGGACUGAUACUGACGCUGAGGUGCGAAAGCGUGGGGAGCAAACAGG
rnacentral:rRNA from 1 species